AUUGAACGCUGGCGGCAGGCCUAACACAUGCAAGUCGAACGAGUGGCGGACGGGUGAGUAAUGUCUGGGAAACUGCCUGAUGGAGGGGGAUAACUACUGGAAACGGUAGCUAAUACCGCAUACCAUCAGAUGUGCCCAGAUGGGAUUAGCUAGUUGGUGGGGUAACGGCUCACCAAGGCGACGAUCCCUAGCUGGUCUGAGAGGAUGACCAGCCACACUGGAACUGAGACACGGUCCAGACUCCUACGGGAGGCAGCAGUGGGAAAUAUUGGACAAUGGGCGAAAGCCUGAUCCAGCCAUGCCGCGUGUGUGAAGAAGGUCUUCGGAUUGUAAAGCACUUUAAGUUGGGAGGCGUUACCCGCAGAAGAAGCACCGGCUAACUCCGUGCCAGCAGCCGCGGUAUAC
rnacentral:rRNA from 1 species